CUCACCCUCUCUUUCUCAACUCAUUCCUACCGCCUUGGUCUUUGGUCGUCAUCGCUGUUCAAUGAGCUUCGCGGACCCGUUGCCGCCGACCGUCCAUCGCACUGAAGGUAUGUACGAAAUGAAGGUCUGUCAAUUUUUUGCCCAUGACAGGUUACAAAAUACGCAACUGCUUGAAUUUGUUUCCAUAUUUGUUAAAUCAUUGGAUUUGAAGCUUGGAUGUCGAUAUUUUUUUUGUUGAGAAUAGCACCAUAUUUGCCAUCACUUAUUCAUAGAUUUGUAAGGUAGAACGUCAUUUUGAAUUGUCAUAUGAAGGCAAUUGUUUGGCACAUAGAAAUGAAUUGCCUGAACUUUCAAGAAACAUUCGUCGUGAGAUCUUCUCAAACGGAUUGCCUGAUACCAAACAAAUAUACAUUUUCAUAUGCUAUUUAUUGGGUCAUGAGUUACAAGUGACUUUUACUAAAGGCAAAUUGAUGUUGAUUAUCUUAGAUUUGAGCUUAUCUUAUUGCAUUGUAAUGAGCCUCUGUAAAUAAGCUCCUAGUGUUCAGUUUGAAACAGAGAGUAUUACUUCUUUCUUGUACAUUUUGGUCCUACUUAAUUGGUAUCAAAGCCCAGGUUAUCCCCUACCAUGCACCAUUUUUUUCAUAUAUUUUGUCCCUACAACUAAUUCAAUACUCUGUCACUCUGGUUGGUGCACUUGUAGGUCUUUGUAUGUUAAUUAUGAUUUUUAUGGUUUUUUUAACUCAUCUGUCUUUUUUUCUCUUGCACUAUCCUUGUAGAAUCCUAUUCACCUUGCUUUGAAGUGCUUUUCAGUGCAAUUCUUAAUUAAAUAUGUCUAAGCCUUGGUGCAUGUUAUCAAAAUCUUAAGACAGUAAUUGAAGAUCUGUACUGUAUUUAUCCCCAAGUUUAUGAAGUCAUAAACAAUGUUGUCCUCUAAAAGAGAAUGGCAAAGAUUGUAACAUUUUUUUUUUGGCUUCAAAUGGUUUCUAGAAUUCCAUAGAAAUUGAUGUCAAUUACUAUUUCAUGGCAUUUUACAAUUUCUGUGCACACUUUAUUUUCAGCACACAACAUAGAAACAUACUCAAAAGAAAUAUUUCUCGCUAACAAUGCUGGAGGGAUUUCCCUGCUCAAGGAGUUGUUCUAUACAUACCUGUAUUAACUCUUUUAAAGUUAAUGCACAUUUUAUAGCUGUAUUAGGAAACAAAGCUUUAAAUUGGCACAGGGAUCUGAUAAAAAUUAAAACAGUCAGCCCAUUUCACCAAAGUUUCGAAAGAUGGUGCCAGUCAAAGUUGGUUCAUAGAAACAAUAUAGGUUUAAGUAAACAUUCCUUUGUGUUAUUGGUCGUAUAUUUAUUUAUUUAAUAUGUCUCAAUGUGAUACUUUUGUGUAGAGCGUGAAAAGAUAUAGAGUAUGGAUCGUGAAUGGGUAAUGAAUUCAAAUAGGGUAUCUGCUCAUUAUGUAGUAGGGAUAAAAGAAUAUUUCUAUGCUAUAUUCUAGGUGGUCAGUUCACGUCUCCAAAUCAAGAGCGGUUUCAUCACUAUAAGGCAAGGCUUUUUUUCCAUCCUGGCUUCUUCUUCUGCAAAGUUGUUUAAGGUUCGGUUUUGUGGUUCGACUUUGUUGUUGUAGGACUUCUGGGUGUUGGACCUGAAAACAAAUCAAUGGGAACAAUUAAAUUAUAAUGGUUGUCCAAGUUCACGAUCAGGUUACCGAAUGGAACAAAUGAUGUAGCUAAGGCGAGAUAAUCUUCCAGAUAAAAUGACUGAUAAAGAUAUCUGAGAGAAGGUUUUUGGACGACAAUUUGUUCGCUUAUUUAGUUGGCGUCCUAGUACUUUCAGGGCAACAUGCACUAGUGGGGAGUCCAGUCGUCCAACCUUCAAUCAAUUGGUUGAAGAUUUGAACCGUACAGGUGUCUUUUUCAAGAGCUCUAGGGAGACGUAAACAUAUUGCUACAAGUGUUGAUUGAGAAGAAUAUUAUGUCUCUUCCGCCUACUCCACAUGUAUUAUCAGAUCAUAGUUUAGGACAAUCUUGCCUCAUCCCAUCUCGCCUCGACCCAUACAGCUCCAGCUUUUCCCUCUAUUCUACUGAACAAGAGA